rnacentral:rRNA from 1 species
UAAUCUGCGAUAAGCGCCGGUAAGGUGAUAUGAACCGUUAUAACCGGCGAUACCCGAAUGGGGAAACCCAGUGUGACUCGUCACACUAUCAUUAACUGAAUCCAUAGGUUAAUGAGGCGAACCGGGGGAACUGAAACAUCUAAGUACCCCGAGGAAAAGAAAUCAACCGAGAUUCCCCCAGUAGCGGCGAGCGAACGGGGAGGAGCCCAGAGCCUGAAUCAGCAUGUGUGUUAGUGGAAGCGUCUGGAAAGGCGCGCGAUACAGGGUGACAGCCCCGUACACAAAAGCGCAUGUGCUGUGAGCUCGAUGAGUAGGGCGGGACACGUGGUAUCCUGUCUGAAUAUGGGGGGACCAUCCUCCAAGGCUAAAUACUCCUGACUGACCGAUAGUGAACCAGUACCGUGAGGGAAAGGCGAAAAGAACCCCGGCGAGGGGAGUGAAAAAGAACCUGAAACCGUGUACGUACAAGCAGUGGGAGCACCCUUUGGGUGUGACUGCGUACCUUUUGUAUAAUGGGUCAGCGACUUAUAUUCUGUAGCAAGGUUAACCGAAUAGGGGAGCCGGAGGGAAACCGAGUCUUAACCGGGCGUUAAGUUGCAGGGUAUAGACCCGAAACCCGGUGAUCUAGCCAUGGGCAGGUUGAAGGUUGGGUAACACUAACUGGAGGACCGAACCGACUAAUGUUGAAAAAUUAGCGGAUGACCUGUGGCUGGGGGUGAAAGGCCAAUCAAACCGGGAGAUAGCUGGUUCUCCCCGAAAGCUAUUUAGGUAGCGCCUCGUGAAUUCAUCUCCGGGGGUAGAGCACUGUUUCGGCUAGGGGGCCAUCCCGGCUUACCAACCCGAUGCAAACUGCGAAUACCGGAGAAUGUUAUCACGGGAGACACACGGCGGGUGCUAACGUCCGUCGUGAAGAGGGAAACAACCCAGACCGCCAGCUAAGGUCCCAAAGUCAUGGUUAAGUGGGAAACGAUGUGGGAAGGCCCAGACAGCCAGGAUGUUGGCUUAGAAGCAGCCAUCAUUUAAAGAAAGCGUAAUAGCUCACUGGUCGAGUCGGCCUGCGCGGAAGAUGUAACGGGGCUAAACCAUG